rnacentral:misc_RNA from 1 species
UUUCCGUAGGUGAACCAGCGGAAGGAUCAUUAGUGAAUCUGCUAUAUAGAACGCGUCCUUUUGUGAAGCCAAUGGCCAUAUAUAUAGAAUCAUUCAGAGAUUAAACAUGUUGGUUCUUGCGAGUCGGCGCUCCCACAAAAGAUCACAAAUCUCUUUUUAAAACCCAAUAUCUUAUUUAUCUGACUGAUUAUUUUAUAUCAAUAAUAUUGAAAAAAAUAACUUUCAACAACGGAUCUCUUGGUUCUC